UAAUAGUGUAUAUUAAAGUUGUUGCAGUUAAAAAGCUCGUAGUUGAAUGUUGGUGUCGAACGAGCGGUCAGCUUCGGCUGUACUGCUAUCUCGACUCCUUCCUUCUGUGGACUACGUCGCACUUUACUGUGUGGCGCUAGGACGCAGAUCGUUUACUGUGAAAAAAUUAGAGUGUUCAAAGCAGGCCGUACGCUUGAAUACAUUAGCAUGGAAUAAUGGAAUAGGACGUCGGGCCUAUUUUGUUGGUUCUAGGACCGUCGUAAUGAUUAAUAGGGACAGUUGGGGCCGUUUAUAUUCCGUAGUCAGAGGUGAAAUUCUUGGAUUUACGGAAGAUAAACUACUGCGAAAGCAUUCGGCAAGGAUGUUUUCGUUAA
rnacentral:rRNA from 1 species